GUCAACCCACCCACCUGACCAAAUCAACCGUCCAUCCAUCUCAUCCCUCCUCACCAUGGUCAUGUCACUGCCUUAAACCUACACCUUGGCUCUACUUGCCGUCGCCGUCGCCCCGGAUGUCCAACCAGAACCAGAACCCGGCCUGAGCGUGGAGGCCACCAACGCUACGUGUGCGACCGCUUCGGCCCAAUUUCGGUGCAGCCAUCUGUUACUAGCCAAGCUGGACGUCAGGACGCCGGAGGUGAAGGACGUCAUCCGAAUGUCGAUCCAGGUGGGCGCCAAGGCGGCAACGGAGGCGGCCGCCAGCAAGAAACCCUCCGAGUGCAUCGCCGACUGCCUCGACGACCUUGCCUCUACGUGGAGCGAAACAAGGAGCUUCCUACUCAUUGCAUGUCACCGAGCCAUUGUUCAUGCAACAGCAAUAAGAAUCAGUAAGCGGAAAUAUGAAAAACGAGGGAACAAAUCACGCUCUCCUCUUCAGUCAGGUGAUGGCGGUUUUUUGUCGAGCUGCUGUUGCUUCCUGAAAUACGCCCUCCUCUUCAAGAGGCCAUCAGUGACACGUAGAGCUUCGAAGGCAUCACCGAAUUUUCGCCAUGCGUGGUACGUUCCUCGUCUGACAGGUAGAUGCUCAAAGAAGCCUGCAUCGUUGACAGUUUCGAGUUUCGCUCGCAGCAUCUGGAUGUGCUUGGAUAAUAUGGCAAGGUCGUCGAGAUAGUCGGCGAUGCACGCGGAGGGUUUCUUGGCAUCGUUGCCGAAUGCGGCUGCCUCCGCCGCCUUCUUGGCGGCCACCUGGACCGACAUUCCGAUCACGUCCUUCACCUCCGGCGUCCUGACAUCCAGGGGUGACGGCGAUGGCAAGUAUAGCCAAGGUGUAGGUUUAAGGCAGCAGCAACAUGGCCAUGGUGGUGAUGGAUGAAGUGGAUGGACGGAUGAUUUGGUAAGGUGUGUGGGUGUACCCACAAAAUUCUGGUAAUGCCUUCGAAGCUCUAUGUGUCACUGAUGACCUCUUGAAGAGGAGGGCGUUUUUCAGGAAGCAAUAGCAGCUCGGCAAGAAAGCGGCAUCACCGGACUGCAGAGGAGAGCGUGAUUUGUUCGGUCGUUUUUAUAUUUCUGCUUACUGAUUUUUAUAGCUAUUGCAUAAAUAAUGGCUCAGUGGCAUGCAAUGGGAGCGAGUAGGAAGCUCCUUGUUUCGCUCCAAGCCAAAGGUUUCCAGCAAUGGCGGAGCUAUAUGUAAAGGGCAAUAUUUUUAGGUGCUAGGAUUAAGGAAAAGUGUAGCCACCUCCAUGUCUUUUUGUAUUAACAAUUUUUGUAUCAUGCAAUCCAUUUGCUCGAGACGAAGAUAAAUUGGUCGGUUAUUAUAUAUACUCUAUAAUUUUGUUUUUA